UGGCAGGGUGAGGAGCCAGCCGCCUGGGAGGAGCCCCCGCCGUGUCAGCCCGGGUCUCUCGAGAUGCAGCGGAGGGCCCACAUUAAGAUGUGGAUAGAAGGUCAGCUGGAUGGGCUCCUACCCACCUCCCACCCAGAGUCUCCAUUGCUUUCAACCACACCUGCAAGGUAUGGCUGCAAGACUCUGGUGGCGAUUGCGGAGGCAGAACCCUGGAACAGGGUGGACACUACUGGUACAGUUGCACAGUGUGAGGAAGCCCGGAUCGCGUCCCUCACCACCACCUACCCCCCGGAGACAUUCAGCCAGUCAGAUGGCCCGAUGCUGGUGGCAGAGGUGGAUCCCUCUUACAGGCUCGACACCACUGGACCAGUGCCUAGGAUUAUCCCAGGUCCAGCUGCACAGGUCAGGUGUCGAUGUCCUGGUGCUGGAUGCAGAGGCGGAUCCCUCUCACAGGCUGGACACCAACAGCACUGAGUCUGAGCCUGAGCCAGUGACAGUUGCACAGGCUGAGGGGGAUCUGGAGAGCAGCGUGGAGGUCAUGGUGGAGAGCAUAGAAACAGCUCCCAAAAACAAGAGAGGAUGGCUACAGCGCUGUCUGAGACUCUGGAGGAGCACAGCCUCUACCUUACUUUCCUGCUGUCCUUACCGGGAGGAGUCAGACGUCUUCUCCACUGACACUUCGCCUUUUUCUUCUUGUCCAGACUCAUCAGUGGAGGACCUCACCACCACCGUCUUUUCACCAGCACUAACCAGCCAGGGAGUCACUGCACCUAUACCCACCGUCAGAACGCAAGGCAGACCCCUUAAAAGACUCGCCAUCAACCUUUGGACCUCUGUAUUUUCUCGUUUCAGGUCUCGGUUCGAGUCUCGGUGCUGGCUGGGGAGGCGGACCCACGUCUGGAGCCGGAGCCAGCUGCACAGGACGUGGGUGACCUGGAGAACGGUGUGGAGGUCUUUGAUUUGUUUUGUUCUGUUGUGUGUGUUUGUGUGGGAUGUCUGUGUAAAUGGUUUUUACACCACAUCUUACUUUAUUCUGCUUUCUUCUGAUCUUUUCCAUACAGAGAGGUCUGCUGUUCCUGAGCUGCUUCAGGGGGUCACAGAGGGAGUAGUGAACCAUCCGACGAUACAACCGAGUGAAGAUGGUUCUGUGGGUAGAUCAGUGGGUGUGUAGAUCAGUGGAUGGGUAGUUCAGUGAAUGGGUAGAUCAGUGGGAGUGAAGAUCAGUGGGUGGGUAGUUCAGUGGGUGUCUAGAUCAGUGGGUGUGUAGAUCAGUGAGUGUGUAGAUUAGUGGGUGUGUAGAUCAGUGGGUGUGUAGAUCAGUGGGUGUGUAGAUCAGUGAGUGUCUAGAUCAGUGGGUGUGUAGAUCAGUGGGUGUGUAGAUCAGUGGGUGUUUUAGAUCAGUGAGUGUGUAGAUCAGUGAGUGUCUAGAUCAGUGAGUGUCUAGAUCAGUGAGUGUGUAGAUCAGUGGGUGUGUAGAUCAGUGGGUGUGUAGAUCAGUGGGUGUGUAGAUCAGUGGGUGUUUUAGAUCAGUGAGUGUGUAGAUCAGUGAGUGUCUAGAUCAGUGAGUGUGUAGAUCAGUGGGUGUGUAGAUCAGUGAGUGUGUAGAUCAGUGGGUGUGUAGAUCAGUGAGUGUCUAGAUCAGUGGGUGUGUAGAUCAGUGGGUGUGUAGAUCAGUGGGUGUGUAGAUCAGUGGGUGUGUAGAUCAGUGAGUGUGUAGAUCAGUGGGUGGGUAGAUUAGUGGGG